rnacentral:rRNA from 1 species
GGGCGAGCGUUAUCCGGAUUCAUUGGGCGUAAAGCGAGCGCAGGCGGUUUUUUAAGUCAGAAGUAAAAGGCAUUGGCUCAACCAAUGUAUGCUUUGGAAACUGGAAGACUUGAGUGCAGAAGGGGAGAGUGGAAUUCCAUGUGUAGCGGUGAAAUGCGUAGAUAUAUGGAGGAACACCGGUGGCGAAAGCGGCUCUCUGGUCUGUAACUGACGCUGAGGCUCGAAAGCGUGGGUAGCGAAC